rnacentral:rRNA from 1 species
UACGUAGGGCGCAAGCGUUGUCCGGAAUUAUUGGGCGUAAAGAGCUCGUAGGCGGUUUGUCGCGUCUGCUGUGAAAGCCCGGGGCUCAACCCCGGGUCUGCAGUGGGUACGGGCAGGACGUAGAGUGCAGUAGGGGAGACUGGAAUUCCGUGGUGUAGGCGGUGAAAUGCGCAGAUAUCAGGAGGAACACCGAUGGCGAAGGCAGGGAUCUCUGGGCUGUUACUGACGCUGGAGGAGCGAAAGCAUGGGGAGCGAACAGGAAUUA